rnacentral:rRNA from 1 species
UACGUAGGGUGCGAGCGUUAAUCGGAAUUACUGGGCGUAAAGCGUGCGCAGGCGGUGCUGUAAGACCGAUGUGAAAUCCCCGGGCUUAACCUGGGAACUGCAUUGGUGACUGCAGCGCUGGAGUAUGGCAGAGGGGGGUGGAAUUCCACGUGUAGCAGUGAAAUGCGUAGAGAUGUGGAGGAACACCGAUGGCGAAGGCAGCCCCCUGGGUCAAGAUUGACGCUCGAUGCACGAAAGCGUGGGGAGCAAACAAGG